UACGGGGGGGGCAAGCGUUGUUCGGAAUUACUGGGCGUAAAGGGUGCGUAGGCGGGUUUUUAAGUCAGAGGUGAAAUCCUGGAGCUCAACUCCAGAACUGCCUUUGAUACUGAAAGUCUUGAGUAUGGGAGAGGUGAGUGGAACUGCGAGUGUAGAGGUGAAAUUCGUAGAUAUUCGCAAGAACACCAGUGGCGAAGGCGGCUCACUGGCCCAUUACUGACGCUGAGGCACGAAAGCGUGGGGAGCAAACAGG
rnacentral:rRNA from 1 species